UAUCUAUGAUGAUCCUAUCCCGAACCUGAAUUUCUGUUGAAAAAAACUUAUACGGAUCUGGCUUCUGAGAU
ensembl:snoRNA